rnacentral:ncRNA from 1 species
GGCCCGGGAGAGACCGGGAACACGGACAAUGGCGCCGAAGGGGCUUGCAAAAACUCUCAGGCAAAAGGACCGGGCCGG